CGGGGGGGCAAGCGUUGUUCGGAAUUACUGGGCGUAAAGGGCUCGUAGGUGGCCAACUAAGUCAGACGUGAAAUCCCUCGGCUUAACCGGGGAACUGCGUCUGAUACUGGAUGGCUUGAGUUUGGGAGAGGGAUGCGGAAUUCCAGGUGUAGCGGUGAAAUGCGUAGAUAUCUGGAGGAACACCGGUGGCGAAGGCGGCAUCCUGGACCAACACUGACACUGAGGAGCGAAAGCCAGGGGAGCAAACGGGAUUAGAUACCCCGGUAGUCCUGGCCCUAAACGAUGAAUGCUUGGUGUGACGGGUAUCGAUCCCUGUCGUGCCGAAGCUAACGCAUUAAGCAUUCCGCCUGGGGAGUACGGUCGCAAGGCUG
rnacentral:rRNA from 1 species